AUACGGAGGGUGCGAGCGUUAAUCGGAAUUACUGGGCGUAAAGCGUGCGCAGGCGGUUUUGUAAGUCAGAUGUGAAAUCCCCGGGCUUAACCUGGGAACUGCGUUUGAAACUGCAAGGCUAGAGUGUGGCAGAGGGGGGUGGAAUUCCGCGUGGAGCAGUGAAAUGCGUAGAGAUGUGGAGGAACACCGAUGGCGAAGGCAGCCCCCUGGGUUAACACUGACGCUCAGGCACGAAAGCAUGGGGAGCAAACAGGAUUAGAUACCCCGGUAGUCC
rnacentral:rRNA from 1 species